GGUUUAACAUUACACUUUAGCUUAAUGUUGCCUAUCGGCAGAUCUGCCACUGAAAAAAAGGUUUUUAUUCUAUGUAUUCUAUGUAUUCUAUGACCUCUACAAAAAGGCCAUAGAACACCUUUUGCAUGGUUCUGCAAACAUUGUUGUCAGUGUGCUGUGCUGUCUCAUCACUGGCAACUGGCACCUAAACAAGUUACAACAAAUCUUGUUAAGCCGGCGCAAUUACAAUUUCACACGGACACGGUUUGCGGAAGGCCAAACCCGGAGAGCCCCACACCCUCUAAUAGGCAGAGCUGUGAGUCUAUUCGACGCGCUGCGGGUUCCAGGCUCAUGAUCCUCUGCAGAUCUUUUGAGGUCGGCCAUUCCCACAGGUGCUCGCUCCACGGACGGAGUCAUUAGCGUCGGCCUCCGCCUCCGCCGGCAGCUCAGCAGCUGCACACCCACACACAUAGAGAAGAGAACAGAACAGGGCCAACAAACAGAUUCUGCAGUACAGCAGGAACAGGCAAACAGCAGCUGGAUUUAAACCAGCAUGAUACUGUGCGUGUGUGUGUGUAUUGAUUGGUGUUUGUUUGCUGUGUGAUUGUGCAUGUGUGAGUGUGUUGAAAUGGGGGAGUAUUUGUUUCAGAGGUGAUUAACAGAAUCAUCUGCUUCCUCCUCAGGACCUGGCUUCAACAAUGCAUUAAGACAAAUGUGUCCCUGUACGGAGGUAAUUCAGCCAAGACUGUUCACUCCUUAAAACGUUAGAAAGACAGAGGAGGAAGUUAGAGAUGAGGACAGAUUCAAAAAAAGAGGAUGUGAUGAGAAGGAAUAUUUUAGAGCAUCUUGAAAUGUUUUGUUAUCUUUGACUGUGUAUAGAGGGAUGUAUAGAGUAGGCCUGGAUGUGACAAAUUAAAAUUGCCCUGCAGAUACACACACGUCCAAGCACAUGUGACCACACUUACACUUCACACCCCUAACAUUAUCUACUGUAGUAUCUGCACUGGAUGAACAGAUGUUCCUAUUUCAGAUUCCAAUUACCUUUGGCUGCCUCAUCAUUCUCCAUUUCUUGUUGUCUGCCCAUCUCCGUAUCAACACACGCACACGUGCACACACAUACUUGGUGCAUUUCCCGGAUGGAGAUAUGACAGAUCUAUUCUCAUACACUGGGUUCAGCUUCAAAUGCAGCACAGACCAACUUGCUUUGAGUGUGUGUGUGUGUGUGUGUGUGUGUGUGUGUGUGUGUGUGUGUGUGUGUGUGUGUGUGUGUGUGUGUGUGGCCGUCUGUGGGCCUGCAUGUCACAGUUGUGCAUGUACAGUACACCGGUGUGUGGCCGUGCGUGAGUGAAACUCACAGUUACCAUUUUGCUAGAAUAACAGCGCAUCUUUUUGAUGUUGGACCAAGCAGCUGCCUGAUAUACAUCGUGAAACCUCCAAGACCAGACUAGCAAAACACACACCUCUGCCAACGUAACCACACACACAUUUUGAUCACGUGAACCUCAUCACACACACACACACACAUAUAUGUAUAUGAGUACUCCAACCACAGAAAGAUACACAAAAUGAGUUAGACACUCGCACACCAAAUGAACACAAUCAUGCCGGUGCUUCACUAAAACACACACGCAAAGACAACACGCGCCUGCCAACUCCAAAUAUCACCAAUGCUGAGUGCUAGAUUCCUCACACAGACCCACACAGACUAUUAUUAAAGUCCCUGAACAGAAGGUUGUUUAUCAGGGUGAUCUGCAGGAUCUAUUCAUUGACUUAAAAUGGCUCAAUCACACUUGAGGUUGUAAGACCUGGUCAGGAGAUCAUAGGAGUUAGUUGACCACUUGUUUUAAUCUUAUCACCCUUUUUUUUAAGUGUGUGUAUACGAGUGUACAUUUGCUUCACUAUGUGCUAGGGGUGUAACGAUUCAUCCACUGAAUCGAUUAAUCGAUUUAUAUUCCUGCGAUCCAACUGAAUCGAUCUGUGCUCCGCAAAUCGGCAUUCCGGACGACAUAUAUCGAUUGCAAAUCGAUUGAAAUGGUACAUAAUCGAUUGUAUCGAUACUUGGAAACUGCACAUUGGAUUUAAGCACAAAAACGGUAUGGAUGCGUGUUUGUUUUUUAGCACGUUAGGCGCGUUAAACGUUACUCGAUUCAGUCUGCCUGACUGUGACGUCAUCAGUGCGAAACUCGGAACACCAACAAAACACAGCGUGGAGGAGACGACUGCGAGCGAGACAUUUACAAACCAACUUAUCGAUCCAGCGUGUGGAAACAUUUUGGCUUUUGCAAACACCGAGGUGUCUAAAUAAGUCGGUCGCUGUUUGUAGAAUAUGUAG
ensembl:lncRNA